AAUGGCCCCGGCCCAACACAAGCAAAACCGACCCGGACCAUUACUCAUAUAAUACUCCACUUCCAGCGAACCUCAACAACAACAGCGUACAAACGCAUCAAUUACAGCCGACAACAGCAACGCUGUAACAACACCGUACCAACGCAACAAACAGCUUACCAGCUCCAAUGUUACAAACCCCACACCACCGGCGAUAAACAACCAAUAUCGGCUAAAUCCUAGCCGUUUUUUCCGGUCAAUUACUCUUUUACCCUCGUGUUCAGCCUUUUUCGGCUACAAACUCGUCCACCUUUUCUCCUUUCAGAAGAUGUUCAUCCAUUUUCGGGGAAGGAUUUAAUACCCAACGUCUCUUUCUGAUUCAAUUAAAUUCAAGUUUUGUCUCACUAUGGACUUCAAAAAUUUCCUCAAAAAAUCAACUCAAUUCCAGAUUUCAAGUCCGAAAACCCUAAUUCUUUUCCCUAGAAAUAGAGGUUGAAGGAUAGAGGUUAAGGAGGAUUUUUGGAGAAAAAUUGAGGAUUCGGGAGGCGCGUGCGCAACCAAAAUUCUCGAAGAAAAACCGGUGGUGAAGUCGUCAUCGAUUCGUCGUCUCAGUUGGCUGCCCGGGAAGAGGUACACAAUCUAUAUGUUUGCACAAAUACUUCAACUUUUGUUCAAGAACACCUAUGAAGUUUUAACACCUUCAACACAAGUUCAUCAAGAACUAUCAAAGAAGUAUGUUAUUUAAUGAAACAAGAUGAAGAAGAAAUUGAGUCAAGUCCUCCAAUUUCACAGAGUGUCCUUAAGGAAUUAAUUUCCGUUAAGUGCUCGAGGUUGCAUAUUUUUUCCUUCCAGGAUAACAUGGCUCACAAUCAGAAUGUAGCGGUACCUCAAACCUUCUGAUUCUUCGAACGCACUCAACAACAGAUGAUCACACAGAGUUUUUAGAAGUAGAAGAGUGUUUUUCAAUGCAGAAAAUUUCAUACUACCUGAGAAAAAAAGUUCAGGUAUUUAUAUUCAUCAAAUGCCCCUUCGGAAAUGAAGUAAUGGUUUAUGAAAGGGUGUAUCACUUCGAAACAGUCAUGUCUGUCCAUUCUGAAAUAGUAUGUCUUUUUUGAACAGUCACACCCGACCGAACAGUCACCCCUUUUUUAAAAUAGUGUGUCUUUUCCUCGAAGGAUGUGUCCCUUUCGAAGUGCGUUUCUGCAUGCUUCUGUAUGACAUUUAUGGAGAAAAAAUAUUUUUUGUUGGA